GACGAGGUGGCCCAGCGGUUAAGGCGAUGGACUACCAAACCGUUGGGUUUUACCCGCGUGGGUUCGAAUCCCACCCUCGUCG
rnacentral:tRNA from 1 species